GACGAACGCUGGCGGCGUGCCUAAUACAUGCAAGUAGAACGCUGAAGGAGGAGCUUGCUUCUCUGGAUGAGUUGCGAACGGGUGAGUAACGCGUAGGUAACCUGCCUGGUAGCGGGGGAUAACUAUUGGAAACGAUAGCUACUACCGCAUAAGAGUAGAUGUCGCAUGACAUUUGCUUAAAAGGUGCAAUUGCAUCACUACCAGAUGGACCUGCGUUGUAUUAGCUAGUUGGUGAGGUAACGGCUCACCAAGGCAACGAUACAUAGCCGACCUGAGAGGGUGAUCGGCCACACUGGGACUGAGACACGGCCCAGACUCCUACGGGAGGCAGCAGUAGGGAAUCUUCGGCAAUGGACGGAAGUCUGACCGAGCAACGCCGCGUGAGUGAAGAAGGUUUUCGGAUCGUAAAGCUCUGUUGUAAGAGAAGAACGAGUGUGAGAGUGGAAAGUUCACACUGUGACGGUAUCUUACCAGAAAGGGACGGCUAACUACGUG
rnacentral:rRNA from 1 species